ACCAGUCCCUGGUGCCCGCGGGUGCUGCAUAUGGGUGGGCGACAGGGCCUGGGCUCACCAGAGAGGUCUCACACAGCAAGCGCGUCCCCCGGCCCAGGCUCCCCAGUGCCAUGUGGAAGUAGGUGCUACCACUGCUCCAGCUGGAGAUCUUCGUGAAGGGGGGUCCUGGGACCCUGGUGACCCCCAGCCCUGCCCCAGGACCUGCUGUUCUACCUUGGUCUUGGGGUGGAUGAGCAGGACCCCGUGUCGGUUGAUGGCGAUGAGGACAAUGUCUGGAUAGGACGGCUCUGAGGUUUGCUGGAGAGGGAGAGGCACGAUGGUCAUAGCCCAACCCAGAGGCCAGGGGUCCACUUUCUACGUGCUCACCUGGGGCACAGGCAGGUACACAGAGGACAUCAGGCGAGUGAGGUUCUCGGGCACCAGUUCCCUCAGGAUCUUGGGUAUACUAGCCAGCUGGGACCGGUCAUUAUCAAACUGGGCCUUGUAGAUGAGGCCCGCCAGGUGGACAGCGUCUUCCCGGGAACACUUGUGGAACCCACGCAGGACCCCUGCCUGCCCUCCCUUGGCCUGCCAGGCCAGCACACCUUGUCUGAGAUCUUGAUGAAGAGGCUGCAGCCGUCCCAGGAGGCCAGCUGUAACCUGGUGGCGAUGCUCUCACACACGUCUCGCACCCGAGUGUUGGCGCCCACUUCCAGCAUCUGGGCAGAGAGAUGGCAGGCCUUGCUCUGUGCCUGGUGGCUGCUGUGACAUGGAGAUGGGGCCAUGGCGAACACGGACCUCUCCUUCAGGCCCUCCAGAAACAGGGCCACCAGCUCGGCGAUGGCCACACAGCUGGGGGACACGAACUCGUACUCUUCGUGCAGUGUGGAGAGCAGCAGUCUCUGCCCUCCCUUGGCCUCCCUAGGGGACGAAGGGGACAGUGUGACCAGAGGACUUCUCCCCGUUUCAGCCCCUCAACAGCCUAGAGGUGACCCUCCAGGGUGACGGAUGAGGAGACAGUGGCUGCCCGAGGGCCACUGGCAGGGCUGGGGUCUGAGCCUAGGGUGGCCCAAGUUCCAGGAACCACUGUGGGCUGGCAGACUGGCAGAGCUCAGGGCCCUUCAGGUCUCAGAGGCUGUGUGGGGUCGGCUCUGGGAAGACCACCAGGUGGCCAGUAUGCAGGGACACCACCAAGAGUGUUAGUGCUGGAGAGAGCCACCCGCUCUGGGGGACCCUGGCGAGCUACCCAGCCCCUGUGUGCCUCAGUGUACCCAAUAGGUGGAACAGGUGGUGCUGCAAGGACUUCAAGGCAUACAGGAAAGUGCCCGGUCAAUCUUGGAGAGUGGUGACCUGAGGCAGCCCAUUGGUCAGUUAUAAUGGGGUGCUUUAACCCAGGGGUACUCUGGUAGGACAAGGGCAGGACUUCCCGAAGGGCUUGGAAGAGUUCCCAUAGAUGGGAGACAUGGGGUGGGGGUUGGGAGGAUGCCCCUAGCACUGCCCGGUACCCUGCUCAGGCCCCAUCCCUUGCUCCUCUCUGAGAUGACCUAUGUCCUCUGUGACCAGUUCUCUCCCACGGAAAGGGAGGGAGCCUGCCACGUGAAGCUUUCCAGAAAGAGCGCAGGCCUACAUGACCUUUCCAGGGACUGUUACCAGACAGCGUGGUGACUUCAAAGAGCCGGGAGAAGAGGAGUGGCCACUGCAGGAGGGCAGUGUCCACCACCUGCUCCUGCACAGCCAACGUCGUGGCUCGGGUCUGGGUGUACGGGGCCUGUAGGAGAUGGCAGGCAUUAUCUCCAUUCUCCGUGCCUCCCCUAGCUGAUCCCUCCCCAGUACUAAGGUCCUGCUACUCCAGAAACAGUUGUUACCAGAGGUCAGCAAGGCCUGGGGCUUAAAGGCCCCAGAUGCAUGAGCAAACCUGUGGCCCAAGGGAGGAGGAAAUGGAGACCAGAACAGGAAGGGACAGAUGUAUCCAGUGGAGGCCCCAGGAGUUGCUUUCCUGUGACCACCUUCCUGCCUCUGCCCUCUGCCUCCUGCCCACCACAUUCUACAUUGCCUCUGAUCCCGGCUGGGGGCCUACUCUGUGGAGGAUCUUCUGAUGGCUUCAACCUGGGCCAGCCCUGGAGUGGGGUUCUUCCUCAGGUCCCCUCACCUUCUCAAAGCUGUACUCGCCAGACCAGACUCCGUGGAGGACUUGCCGGUAAAUGAGCUCGGUGCUGACAGGGUCCUCCUGGGAGUCGUGCCAAGGGGUAAAGAAUUCCUUCCGGAAGUAGAUGCGCCAGGGUGACUGGCGCUGGCUGGCGCCCUUCUCCUGGGCCAGUUGCUCACACUGGGCCACAGCGUCCAUCACGUGGUCACGCCCGCUGCCCAGGGACCAGAACUGAGGACAGAAUCCGGGGCAGUAAAGGUUAGCAGCUGCUGUGUGUCUCGCCCCACAAGGACACCCACCCUCAGCACAGCAUGUGGAAGACAGGGACCAGGACUCUCAGGGCCCAGUGUGGGCUGAGUGGCUGCUGCUGAGUCCACUUAGACACCAGAAGGACCUCUCUAUGGGCCUGUCCAUUGGUUCCCCAAACACCUGUCUGCUGGCCCCUCUCAAAGGAAGCAGAGAUGGAUGCCGGUGUGAUUUGUGCCAUGGCAUGUUGGUUGGCCAAGUGGUGUUUGUCCAAGUCUAAGGCGACCUGCAGGGAGAAGCCCAGGUGGUCUCUGAGGCCCUUCUUUUGGGCAAUGUGCUGGCAGAUUUCUCGUGAUGUGGAGGCUGAAUCCACCAUGACGGCCAGGCUCUCCCCAGUCACCAAGAUGACUUGGAUGGGGAUGUGCUUCUUGGACUUGACAGCCUGGGGACAGAAGAGGACUCAGGCCCUCUCGCCUCGGGGAGCCUGAGCUCAGCUGUCCUGGAGCUCCCAGAGCCUUGGACUGGAGGUUAGUCCAUCACCUUGCCCCACCUCCCUUCUCUCCUGACUGUCCCCACCUGCCCAUCGCUGUGGCUUCCUGAGGACAGGACCUUCAGGGUUGGCCAUGUCUCAGCAUGCAGUUAACAAAAUUUAGGUUCAUGGCUCCAGCCAAGGGCAAAAACAACGUUGUCUGUACAUCUGGUGAUUUGUGGGCAUCUCCAACUUUGCCUUAGUAUCCCUGUGGGCACAGCCUGCAGGCCAUAAUGGUCCACUUCUAGGUGAGAACCCGGUGCUUGGUAAGGUUAAGUGACUCUGAUUCAGAAGGUGAGCUCUCCAGAACAUUUCCAGGUUCUCGGAUCCUGUGCACCACACUGUGAACUCACAGCUGCAAGUUCACCUACAAUUCCAGGAUGCAUGAGAGAGAGCCCUGUGGACUUGGGAGGUCGGUGAGAACAGGGAGGAGGUAUGGCUAGAGGUGACCCACAGGCCCCAGCAUAGGACACUGCAGGGUCACAUGGGUGAGCACCUUCCAGGCAUGGGCUGGGACCAGAGAUGCAGGCAGAGCCGGUGCUGGGGAUGCCACCUCCACCCUGGCUCACCAGAGUGAUCCUUUCUGAGGACACCUCAAGAAUUCAUAGGUGUCCUAUCUUCCAAAACAAGUAGAGAGGGGCACCUGCUCCCAACAGCAAUGCCAUCAAGGAUGAUAACUUGACAUGACCAUGACUUUCACGAAAGUGCAAAUGCCCAGGGAGGAGUAACUCAAAACAAUUAGCAGCCAUUUACAAGGCCAUGCUAAUGAGUGUGUCAGAUUUAUUUUCCCCUUCAAUUAAUAGGCCAAAAGAGAAUGUUUAUAGCCGUGUAAUUUACAAUAGCCAAGUUACAGAACCAGCCUAGGUGCCCGUCAGCAGUUGAAUGGAUAAAGGAAAUGUGUUAUAUACACACAAUGGUAUUAUGAAAUAAUGGCACCUGCUGGUAAAUGAAUGGGACUGGAGAACAUCACGCUAAGUGAAAUAAACCAGACUCAGAAAGUCAAGGGUCGAAUAUUCUAAUAGGGAGAAGCUAGAGAGGAAAAAGGAAUAAAAAAGGGAUCUUGUGAAAUUAGAAGAAAAAACAGUAGAAGGGGAUUGAUGGGGAGGGAGGAGAGAAGAGAAAGGGGAGGUACUGGGAAUGAAAUCAGCCAGACCAUGCUAUGCCCAUGGAUGAUUGAUUACAACACAGUGAAUCCCAUUUUUAUGUAUAAUUAUAACGCACUAAUUGAAAAAAAAAAUAGAAGGGAGGCCAGCAGAGUCAAGAGAGCAGAUCAGGGGAAGGAAGGAGGGGAGAGAAAGGGGAAUGAAGCCGAUUAAGUUAUGUUAUGUGCAUGAAUGGAUGUGUCACAAUGAACCCCACUAUUGCAUAUAAUUAUAAUGCACCAUUUUUAAAAAGACUAUGGAUUUAGAGAGGCUGAGAGCAGCUUUGAAGCUUGGGCUAUGCUAGCAGAGGCUGAGCUCCACAGGGGUUCACAGGGACCAUGAAGGUGCCCUGGAGGAGAUGGAAGAAUGCUGUGGACAAAGUCACCCCACAGCCAUGCCGCAGGAACCAAAGGAGCUGCACCUCCCUACACUGCCCGCCUCCCACCCUUCCAGCCCUACCUGAAGCUCCAGCCACGUGGGAGGUUCUGCCCGCACCCCAUUGGCAUAGGUACGCCGCAGGCGCUCAGCACAGAAGGGUCCAUAGCCUGCUGGCCCUUGACCAAUGAAGUUCAGCAGAUACUGGGGGGUGAAGAAGGGAGAAGAGAGGAGACAUUCAGAAGGCAGCUCAAUGUUGACUUUCUACAGAUUUUUAAAAUUAUCAUCCUCAGUUUAGAAAGAUGUGUUCAGAUGGGCACUCUCCAUUCAUCAUGAAGAGGAAUAGAAAUGGAUAGAUACCUGAGGAGCAGUUUGGCAGUUUACAUCAGCAGAAAAAAAUAGUGGAGAAAAUUAAAAGAAAAAUGUAGGAGAGUCUACGUCCAAAAUGCGCUUGACAACAACAACAACAAAAACAAAACUGUGUGGAGGGCUGAGGAUAUAGCUCGGUUGGUACAGUGCUUGCCUUGCAUGCAUAAGCCCCUGGGCUCAAACCCCAGCACCACAAACACACACACACACACACAAAAAAAAUGUUGAAAAUCUUUUUGUUCCAUGGAGGUGAGUGGGGAAAUACUACCUGAAAGGGGUUACUGGUAUCACAGUGGCUUAAGUGCUCAGAACCAAUGCCCAGGGUGAACAUGGUUCCUGAUGUCCCCACAGGGACACAGAGUGAGUGUUUUCCAUUUGACUGUAAGUAUGACACUAUAACACCACAGAGGCCCAAAGAAAAUACUAAUGGAAGCCAGGUGGGGUGGCACAUGCCUGUAAUCCAGUGGCUCAGGAGGCUGAGGCAGGAGGAUUGCAAGUUCAAAGCCAGCCUUAGCAACGGCAAGGCAUUAGUCAACUCAGCGAGACCCUGUCUCUAAAUAAAAUACAAAAUAGGGCUGGGGAUGUGGCUCAGUGGUCGAAUGUCCCUGAGUUCAAAUCCUCGGUACCCCCCCACCUCUGGGUGUGAGAAUGACUUUAUUUUCAGUUCUGAUUGCCUGUAUUCCACAUAUUAUUUUUAUCUCAGAACCAAAAGGUUUAUGGAGACAGUGAAGUCUGGGGCCUCUAUCUGCAGGCUUCUGCCAACCAACAUCCACGUUCAAUUCUAAGGAGUAGAAGCAGGUACUGUGGCCAGUAUCAGGUAGGGGCUCACUCCCUGGACAACUGUCUGGAAGUUGAGUCGUCCUGGUGCCUGAGCCACGGGGCAAUGGCCUUGCCGAGCCUGGAUAGGGAUGGGAAGGAGCCAGGUCUAUACCAGUGAGUGCCUUCUGGUAUAGACAAGGAGACGGAGGACCAGAGGAGAGCUGCCCAUUGCCUGAGGGUUCGGGAAACCCUGGCCCAGAGCCUACUUAUGCUGCUGCUGUAACCUGCCCUCUGCCUCCCCAACCCUGCCCUUGGCCCUCCGCACCUUCAUGAACCUCUCUGAGGGUGGGAAGCAGCCCAGACAGAGGCUGAGCAGGAUCCAGCCCCGGGCCGUGCUGCUCUUCCUGGAGUUUCCCGAGAGCUGUUUGCAGAUCUGGCAGUAAAUCUCAUCCCUGAAAGACACAGACACUGGGAGGGCAGGCUGGGUAUUUGUUUGGGGGGAGGGGAGAGACAGGAGCCUGGGCACAGGGUCUCUCUGCACCUCUGGGUGAGGUCUCCUGUUCAGGGCACCCCUCCAGCACUGGAGGCCUCCCUCCCACUGAUGUUUUCCCCUGUCCCACUCCCUUCAGACCCCUCUGCCUGGUUUAUCGAGGCCCCAGUUCUCAGCCCUCCCUCCCAGACCCCUUGCCCCUCAGGCCUUUGCUCUGACUUACCCCUUCUGCUUUACCCCUGCAUGACUGCUCUCAGCCUCCUCUGCCCUGCUUCUUGUAUAACCCGAUCGGCUCCUUUCCCCCAGCUUCAGUUAUUUCAGACAUUAAUUUCUCCUUCUACCCGGAGGCCUUAUCUCCUUUGCACUUAGCCUGGCCCAGCGGGGCAUUAAGAGCACUUUUUCUUGGUAUCCUCACUGGAUGUGAGCCUACCCACUUUUGAGCAUAUACUCUCAUGGUGGGUUUCCUGGUUCUCUCAUGCUCUCUGCCAUGGUUUAGAUAAAUGCCCUCCAAAGGCCAAUGUGUUGAAGCUUGGUUACCAGCCUGUGGUGCUAUCGAGAGAUGGGGGCCCUUUAAGAGAUGGUGCCUAGUGGGAGGAAGUGAGGUCAUUGGGGGUGUGCUCUUGAAAGGGAUUUGGGGACUUUCAAUCCUUCCUCUCUUUUUGCUUUUUGGCUGCCAUGGGAUGAGCACCUCUCUCCACCAAGUGCUCUGCCUCACCAUUGACCCCAAAUGACAGGGUCAAGUGAUUUCAGAAACUUCAGAAAUCAUGAGCCAAAAUAAAUGUUUCUCCCUUAUGAGUUGGUUAUCUCAGGUAUUUUGUUACAGUAAUGGAAAACUGACUGACACACUCACCAAAUAAAGGGUAAAUUCUUCAAGGAUAGAGAUGUGCUUUCUUCAUCUCUGAUCCCUAACCCUCAGGCAAAGGCCCCACCAGGAACUCAAUAAGUAUAUAUUGAAUGCAUGAUAGAUAUGGAAUGCAGCAUUUGCUUUGUCUUAGAAUUUGGUUAUAACGCCAGAGCCAAGGACAAAUGGAUGUUAAUAUCCAACAUUCUAGAGACAAUCUUGUAGAAUUUGCUAAAAGAUGGCAGAACCAGUCUAGCAUGCCAUCUCCAGCCUAUAUAAGGGAAGGUGAGAAAUUUGAAAGGUGACUUCAGAAGGCACUUCAUGGAGGAGACAGAUCUAUGGCUCAUUUCCACUACUUACAAGUGAUGAGAGUGAGGGAGACUCCAGAAGAACGAUCAGUAGGGAUGGAGCUGUUUUUCAGAGAUGAGACCUAUCCCACUUCCCAUCUGAGGCAGAGCUUCAGAAACUCAUUGCCCACCCCUAGUGCAUUGUAAUGGAGCACAGUGAAAAAAUUCUUGCUAGGUCUGGGGAUAUGGCUCAAGCGGUAACGUGCUUGCCUGGCAUGCACGCGGUGCUGGGUUCAAUCCUCAGCACCACAUAAAAAUAAAAUAAAGAUGUUGUGUCCACCGAAA